rnacentral:rRNA from 1 species
UACGGAGGGUGCGAGCGUUGUCCGGAAUCAUUGGGCGUAAAGGGCGCGUAGGUGGCCCGGUCAGUUCGUGGUGAAAGCGCGGGGCUCAACCCUGCGUCGGCCAUGAAUACUGCCGCGGCUGGAGCACUGUAGAGGCAGGCGGAAUUCCGGGUGUAGCGGUGGAAUGCGUAGAGAUCCGGAAGAACACCGGUGGCGAAGGCGGCCUGCUGGGACAGUGCUGGACGCUGAGGCGCGACAGCGUGGGGAGCAAACAGG